UAGUCGCAGUGCGGCAAAGCAGACGCAUAGACCCAGGCACAAAGCAGCAUAGAUUUUUUAUUCUCAUCUCUAUUUUUUUGUCCGAGAGACGUUUUCCUGGUGUUAGCACAGGAGCAGACACAGCCUGGAUAUGCUAGCUCCAGCCUGGCAGCACUUUCGGCUGAGCAGGGACUGCGUGGAGCUCGGUGCCCACGCUGCCGCUGAGGAAGAACGCUGCUCUCCCACUCUGUGCCGUGACGAUAACCUGCAGCCACAGGACCGCGGAGAUGGCGGCACUUGUCUCUGUUUGCCUGACUGGGGCCUUUGCAGGUGCUCCCCUUCUGAAGCCGUGCUGGCAUUCCCGGGCCGUACAGAUGGGUAAUAUAAUUUGCUGCAGUUUCUUACAUCAAUGUAGCAAAGCUCAAGCGAGCAACCAGACUCUGACCUAAAUCAGUCCCAGUUCUUUGGGAUACAGGGCAGCAGGCGACUGGCAGUGAUACAACCAGCCAUCAAGUGGAGAGGCUCUGGGACUGCAAUCUGUAUGGGUUGGAGUCUGUGAGAAUGAAACAGUUCCCGUUAUCCGGUCGCUUCUCCUUCUAAUAAUGCAAUUGCUACAACUGCUACUACUACUGCAUCUGUUUUUCCUUGCCUGAAAGAAGCUACUCCUCGUGCUCUCUCUGUGUGGGUAUUUGCGUAGAUUAGUCUGUCGGUAAUGCAGCCCUUAUCUGCUUCUGCUGGAAACCAGGGCACGAAGUCAGCCUGCCUUAACAGUUGUUUCUUUCUGCGUGAUGCUAUGCAGCUAGAAUGGGUUACACUGACAACAAAGGAGCCAGCACAAAGCAUCACUUUAUUUGCUGGACUGCUACAGGAACCCGACUCAUCUUUGCUACGAAGCCCUGUUUGGUUUUGUGGGGGUUUUUUUGUUGUUUUUUUUUUUUUUGCAAUCCAUCUAAUCGAAGAGCCUAACAGACACCGUCGUGGAUGUGGGUUUUAAUGAUUUGGAAAAGACAGCCUGUGGAGACUGCGAUUGGAGACUGCAACACGCUUAGGUUAUUGCCAAUUUGAAAUACUUGGUUUGUGAAGCACAGCCCUAAGGGACAAGUGCAGUAACUGAGAGAGAGAUCGUAGAUAAAGAAAUAAAAAUGACAAGCAUAAUGGAGGCUCUGCAAGAAACUGUCAGGGAAUCAGUUCAUGGAUGGCAAUUUCACCAGUCUGAAUCUGAAUAAUUCAUAGAUUGAAAUUACCCUGCUUUCACCUUUCCAUUUAAACUGGCACGAUCUGAAUCUCUAAUAAAUUUUCAAGAUAAAGUAAAAUGCCAAUUUGAAUCUGAAGAGCUUUUAAAACCAGAUGCUACACCCUGUGUCUUUCGAUACCUUUCACAAUUAUCCUGUGAGAGCCGCACUUCAUCACGAAGCACCAUUACCAGUGAAAAUUACGGUGAUUACAAUAGCAACAAUAGAAUACCGUCAAAUGAUCUCCAAUUUACCUAAUUUACCAAGGUUGACUGUGUGCCCGUUGUGCUUCACUACGUCUGGCAUCGGAUCAAUAUCACAGAGGAGGAAAAAUGCCUCAGUGUAUGCUUCCUUUUGGUGCCGUUAACUUUGACAGCACAGGAAAAUCUAUCUCCCGUUAAAUGUUUUUACAGCCCAUCUGCAUGCCUGCCGUAGGAUCUGAUUGAUUCUCCAUCAUUUUCUUUACUUCUGAGUAUUGGAUGUUAUUGCGUUACUAAUUUGUUUCUAACGUGUACUCCUGCACAAAGGCUGCAGCAAAUGAGUAACAGCACAGCGACUGCACUGCUGCAGCAGUAGCGCUGCUCUCUCUCACAGGGGAAGCCAAAAUGAGUUCGGUGCCUUAUGUGAAUAAUCACUUGCAUCUGGGUUAUAAAUGCUUCCAAGCAUCGCUCAUCUUGGUUGCACUACGUGAGAAAUGUGUGCGAAAGUCGUGGUCAAGGGAAAUGGUUGUGUGUAAUCCUAAGAUUUUUUCCCCUAUCCAGCAAUCAGCGUGAGGCUGUGAGAGAUAGGCUGCGACUCUUUCAGUAAACAUGUGUGUGUACACAUGCAUGCACGUACAUAGGAGGUAAGGAUAGUAUGCGUUGUGAUUGUGUGCUGAUCAGUGAAAGCAACAUUUCUCUGACAAGUCAGGCACAGUGUUUUACCACAGUCUGCUCAGUUGUAACAAAUCCCACUUUUGGAGUGUAUAUUUUCCAUAGGACAAUGUGUGACUGCUGGAACAGUAAGUACCAUUUAUACAGCAUGUCGGUGCCUAUAGCAGUGCCACGGAAUGGGAUUUUAAGCAUAGUUUGACUACAGUGUGGAUAAGUAAGAAACAUGCACAGAAGGCUACAACAGGCAUUCCUCCUGGAGAAGACUGUGUCUGUUGUCUGUAUGUGUGUGAGUUGUACACAUCAAUCUUGUUUUUUCUUUUAUGACCAGAUUUACUCUGCCUCCACGGAGUAUUUGCUAAGGAAGAGAAUCCCUGUGGAGCUGAUAGCUGUGGACUGAUGGCUGGUAUACCAAGCAGCAAGUGGAGAAUCUCCUCCAGACGUAGUCACAGCAGAAGCCUGGGGAGAGUGCACAGCUCGCUGCCUGCAGGAACCACCUUCUUCACAAGGCUUCUGGAAAAUAAGCACAUUGCUUGGCCAAGUUAGGUCUUCCAUGUUGGAAGCUCCACACUAAAGAAAUUAGCUAGCACAACGAAAGGCCGCCUGGUGACUGUCCCACCAUCUCUGUUGCUCACAGGAAACCACUACUGCUGCACUGGUUCUACUGUGUCUGAGGGCUGUGGCUUCAAAUUGCAGUAAGGCUGAUAAAAUAACCAGCUGCCAUGAAAAGAAGUGUGCUCUUGCAUGUAAUCUCCCUUGUGCUAGCUGUGGUCCCAUGGUAAACUGAUGCAGGGAGAUGGCCAUCAAUAUGCCACCCUCCUCAAAGAAGUAGUUCUCAGUGUGGUGUUGUCUUAGUCAAGCUUGUCAUUAAAUAGCAGCAAGCACAAGAAACUACUGAGCAUUUUUUUCACAUGUGGGCUAGAAAAGAUUGAGGUUGUUACUAUUUUACAAACCAAAAGAUCCAAAAUACCCAGUAUGGUGAGUGCAGCACUGAAAACAUCACAUUAUCCUAUUCCUUGGAACCUAUUAUUGAAAGGCUCAUAUUGGGAAAAGAAAAAAAAAAAAGAAUAUAACACAAACCAAAACAGUAGGCUAGGAGCUGGAAAACAAAACCAAUUAAAUACAAAUAGAUUAUGGACACCUUGUAACACAGAAUUCCUGUGCAUUGUCAUCUGCUGAUUAUUAGUUUCAUUUAUUUUGGAAUUUGCUUUAUUUUCAUGUAACUUUUGUGUAUCUAAAUAAUUACAGUUGUAUUAGUUUGAAUCUAGUCAGUGAGAUGAACAGAGGAGCCUAUCUCUGUGUCAUUCUGGCCAAUAUUACAUUCUAUUACAUAAGAAGUGGGAAUUAAACAUAAGAAAUGGGAAUUAAAUCAAUUUUAAUGCACCAUUCUAAUAAGAAGACAACUGUAGUUCUAGAUUGCAAUUAUGGAGUUAAUUACAAUUUCAUUGGUACUGCUUAGGAUUAAGAAUACUAAGUUUACCUUGGGUGAACAUUUCAUUAUCUAGGAUGAAUCCAAGCUACUUUUCUUCUAAAUCAUAUCUUGGCUUAUUUCCUAACUUUGACUGUUUAAUAAAAGCAUAGAGAAUUUUACAGGUAGACUGUAUCAAAACAGGCUAGCUGGUUAACUUCAAAUUACUGUACAGUGAUUUGAGAAAAACAUUAAUUUUGAAGGAGCUCUGGAGGCUGAGUAUAAAGAUUAUUAAACAUAAGUUAUAUAUAUGCAGAAAAAUUGCUUUUGCAUGAAUUCACUUUUAAAAUGUUAAUAUAUGCAUAAGAAAAUUGUGUUUCUUAAUCUCUGAAGAAACACUUAUCACUAGGAACCACUUAAUUCUUUUCCUGCGCUUGAUUUAUUAGCUUAUGAAAUUAUGCUAAUAGUUUGCAUGCUAAUGGUUUUGGGGCUCAAAUGACCUGAUUUUAAUAAUGAAGUAAUUUAUGCAGUAAAUGCAAUCAUCAUCCAUGAAUCUCACUUAAAAGAACGUAUCAGUGAUUACCUGUGCUAAAACCAAAUGCCUGUCA